GUGGGUAUAGUUCAGCGGUAGAGCACCGGAUUGUGGAUCCGGUUGUCGUGGGUUCGAACCCCACUACCCACC
rnacentral:tRNA from 1 species